GGUUCCUUAGCUCAGUUGGUUAGAGCGUGGUGCUAAUAUGUUAAGAAAUUAACUUGUUACGCCAAGGUCGCGAGUUCGACCCUCGUAGGAACCA